rnacentral:misc_RNA from 1 species
UCUCAUUGUUUGAGAUUUUUAAUGAUGACAAAUUCCGGAUUUCUUCCCAUUUCCAUGAAAGUUGGCCAUAUAAUUGGUUAUGGCUUAAAUCCAAAUAGUUUAGGUGAGGAUAUACACCAAAACCAAAAUCUUCAGAUACAUUUCCUGUGAGUUGGUUUCUCUCAAGGCGAAGUCUCAACAAGCUGCUACAAUUUCUCAGGCUUCUCGGGAUAGGACCCGUGAAAUUGUUUGCAGAUGCACUGACAUACUGAAGUUGUCCACCAAGGCAUAUACCUUCAGGUAAACGGCCCGUGAAAUUAUUUCUUGAAAACUGAAACGCGCAAAGCUUUCCAAGCAUUCCUAAUUCCUUGGGGAUGGAACCAGAGAGUUCAUUGUAGUAAAGGUAAAGAUAUACCAAGUUGCUUAAGUUUCCCAUGGAUGCAGGAAGUUCACCACUAAGUUUGUUGAUCGACAAAUCUAGCGUGCGAAGAGAUCUCAUCAUUCCAACAUCUGGUGGUAUGGAGCCAGAAAGAUCGUUAUCAUGGAGGUAAAGUUCAGUUAAGUUGCUCAAAUUUCCCAUUAUUGAAGCAGGGAUUGAGCCUGUAAGAUAAUUAUCUUGUAAAGAGAGCACCGAAAGUGAAGUAAGCGCCCCAAUUUCUCGAGGGAUGGUGCCAUUGAUAUGGUUCGCAAAUAGGGAAAAGAAGCUAAGACUUGCCAGUGAGCUUAUUUCAGAUGGAAUUUUUCCAGAGAUAUUAUUGAAAGACAAGUCAAGGAAGGUGAGCUUGGAAAGAUUACUAAUAUGUGCAGGAAUGACACCAUAAAGUGAGUUGUUGCGGAGAUUGAGCUCGAUGAGAUUGGGAAAGGACAAGAAGCUGAGACUCUGAAGCGUACCUUUCAAACCGGAAUUUGGAACGCUUAUAUUGACAACGCUUCCGGCCUUAUUGCAAAUGAUACCAGACCAAUUGCAAUGUCUGCUUCCAUUCCAAGAGGACAGAAUAGAUUGGCUGUUAUUAUCAAGAGUGGCUUUCCAUCUUAGAAGAGCAUCCGUCUCCUUAGCCCCUUGUGUCACUUCAUUUUUAGCAGCAGCAAAAGAAGUUGCAUGGAAAGCAAAAACAUGGACAUGAAAAUAAAGGAGAAACAAAGGAAUAAGGCUGAACAAGAGUACUGGGGAGAAUACGGAGAGUGGUUUCUGUGAUCGGGAAGACAUAACUGCAGAAAUGGGUUUCAAGUUUUG